UAAGUUAUCGUUUAUUUGAUAGUACCUUACUACUUGGAUAACCGUGGUAAUUCUAGAGCUAAUACAUGCUAAAAAUCCCGACUUCGGAAGGGAUGUAUUUAUUAGAUUAAAAACCAAUGCCCUUCGGGGCUCCUUGGUGAUUCAUGAUAACUCCUCGAAUCGCAUGGCCUUGUGCCGGCGAUGGUUCAUUCAAAUUUCUUCCCUAUCAACUUUCGAUGUUUGGGUAUUGGCCAAACAUGGUUGCAACGGGUAACGGAGGGUUAGGGCUCGACCCCGGAGAAGGAGCCUGAGAAACGGCUACUACAUCCAAGGAAGGCAGCAGGCGCGCAAAUUACCCAAUCCCGACACGGGGAGGUAGUGACAAUAAAUACUGAUACAGGGCUCUUUCGGGUCUUGUAAUUGGAAUGAGUACAAUUUAAAUCCCUUAACGAGGAACAAUUGGAGGGCAAGUCUGGUGCCAGCAGCCGCGGUAAUUCCAGCUCCAAUAGCGU
rnacentral:rRNA from 1 species